GCUAUGCCUCUAGGAGGCAAUAUAAUAUAAUACCUCCACUGUGAGAGAUGUUCGAGGACAACGCUAUCUAUCAGCAUGUUUUUGCUAUAAACGAUUAUCCAGGCUGCCACUGGGUAAUCAUUGCCAAAUAUACAGGACUCAGUGGGUACAGCCUGGAUAAUCAUUUAAAGGACAAAUCUGCUCAUAGCAUUAUCUUGGAACAUCUCUCAUACUUGACAAAGGAGAGCCUUUUGGGUGUCCGUGGGACUUCGGGAUGAAAUUUGGCAGACAGGUAGAUCAUACCCUUUCUAUUGUAAAACUUGAAACCGUUUCCGCUGAAUAAUACCGUGGACCGAGUUACAUCUCUCAUACUUGGUAACACAGUCCUAAAGUCUUCUUAUCCUCAUAUAAAUCAAUUUCUUUUCAGUUAUAAAUGUGUUCAGCAGUGGUGCUUUUAUGUUCACGAUCGUUUCGUGGUGACAGUCGUGUUGGCGGGCACCCAAUAAAAAUUGGGUAGAAAAGUCAAAGGUUUUAAAUAUACCUAAAUUAAAUAUACCUAAAUUUUAGAUAUACCUAAAUUAAAUAUUCUUAUAUUUUAGAUUGCCGUCUUAUAAAUUGUCGGAUUAUAAAAUCAUUACAGUUAAUUUAUAAUAACAAAAACGAUACCCCAUUGUGCAGAAGGGAAUGCAAUCAAUGAUAACGUCUUGAACUGGCAUGCACGGGAGAUGUGUUAACAAGGGCUGGAUAGAACCUUGAGGUAAGAUUAAAAUCCAAAUUAAAAAUAUUUUUGUAUUUUAGAUGUCAGUCGUGUGAUUGUCUUAGUAAGAAUACCAUAACGUCUACUAUGGAUUGCGUAACUUUGGAUUUUACGCAUGAAGGGCCAUAAAAUUUUAAUCAUAUAUAACAAUACACAUAAAAAGUAAAAUAAUUUCAAUACACAUAUAAUACACAAAUAAAAUACACAUAAAAAAUAAAACAGUUUCAAUAUACAUACAUACAAUACAUAAAUAAGAUACACAAUAAAUAAAAUUACUGUGGUUGUCAAGGAGAAGUUAUAUCUUGAGCUUCAUAAUCCGUUUAGCAAAUUCUGGUCUCAAAAAUCACAUUUAAUGUUACUGUGUGAAGGGGACAUGACAAAAUUUCUCAAAAAUUGUUCAAUAAUUCACUACUAUUAAAUAAAUACUAUAAAAACAACCACUUUUACUAUUCCUACGACCACUUUUCGUUUUCUUUCUUGCUUAAUUCUCUUUCCAUUUAUUUUUCUCAUGAUGGCGCAUAGCUAGGGGUUGCAUUUGGUCCAUUUCUCUUUUCGCCUCGACUCAUAUUAUAUUAGAAAAGUGGUUGUCUGUUGAGUAAAAUUGAAAAAGUGGCUGUGUGCUUGCGAAUUGUAAAAUAAAGUGGUUGUUUGCUGAGGAAAUGGAAAAGCAGAAUGUAUAGGAAAAUAAAUAAUUCUCGACGUAGCAGAUCUCAAGUCCUUCCGGGCUUCUUGGCGCCUUUCUAUGUAAAUUCUUAUCAUCCAAUCAACACGUUUACGGUACAAUCUGAAGACUCAAGUGUGUUACUUUGAUUUCUAACCGUUUUAAAUCGAUGUCAUCAUUCCAAAAGGCGCUUCGGAUGGAUUAAUGGAUAAGCGGACAAAGACGGGAUUUGAAUCGGUAGUGAGGUAGUAGUGAGGACUGCUUGUGGAGUGCUUCAGCUGCGUGCUAUUUCGCAAGAUAUAGUACUUCGAUUGGCGCUGAACAACCAGUUUAGAACUGGCACGAACUCCGGGAAUCCGACUGUCUAAUUAAAACAGAGGAGACGGAUGGUCCUUGCAGGACGUUGACCGUGUCUGAUUUCUGCCCAGUGCUCUGAAUGUUAAGCCAAGGAAACUUGAUUAAGCGCGGGUAAACGGCGGGAGUAACUAUGACUCUCUUAAGGUAGCCAAAUGCCUCGUCGGCUAACUACCGACGCGCACGAAUGGAUCAACGAGAUUCCCACUGUCCCUAUCUACUAUCUAGCGAAACCACAGCCAAGGGAACGGGCUUGGCAAAUUUAGCGGGGAAAGAAGACCCUGUUGAGCUUGACUCUAGUCUGACUUUGUGAAGAAUCAUGAGAGGUGUAGCAUAAGUGGGAGUCGUAAGACAACAGUGAAAUACCACUACUUUCAUCGAUUCCUUACUUAAUCGGUAAAACGGGAGUUGUGUCUACGGACCUUCAUUUUUGUUUUAAGACUAGCCACUCGGUGGUUGGUUGACUCGCGCCGAUGACAUUGUCAGGCGGGGAGUUUGACUGGGGCGGUACAUCUGUCAAAUUGUAACGCAGGUGUCCUAAGGCGAGCUCAGAGAGGACGGAAACCUCUCGUUGAGCAAAAAGGCAAAUGCUUACUUGAUCUUGAUUUUCAGUACGAAUACAGACCGCGAAAGCGUGGCUUAUCGAUCCUUUUGAGUUUGUAAAGUUUACAGCAAGAGGUGUCAGAAAAGUUACCACAGGGAUAACUGGCUUGUGGCGGCCAAGCGUCCAUAGCGACGUCGCUUUUUGAUCCUUCGAUGUCGGCUCUUCCUAUCAUUGCGAAGCAGAAUUCGCCAAGCGUUGGAUUGUUCACCCACCAAUAGGGAACGUGAGCUGGGUUUAGACCGUCGUGAGACAGGUUAGUUUUACCCUACUAAAUACGUUGCUAUGAUGGUAAUCCUGCUUAGUACGAGAGGAACCGCAGGUUCAGACAUUUGGUUCAUGUGCUUGGUCGAUAGGCCAAUGGCGCGAAGCUACCAUCUGAGGGAUUAUGACUGAACGCCUCUAAGUCAGAAUCCCGCCCAGUCAUGAUAGCAAUAUAUAUCGCUCUCCGGUGUCGGAAGGCAAAAUGUAUGCCACUUUUGUGGUAGUACAAGCCCCAGUAUCUGGCAUUUUCUUUCUACUAUAAUUGGUAGUUGGUUGCUAAAAGCUUAGCACUCCUCGUGCAGGUGUAACGUCGGGGCGCAAAAUCACUUGUAUACGACUUGAAUACUGGUCAGGGGGUUGUAUCCAGUAGAGCAGCUCUUCGCUGCGAUCUGUUGAGACUUAGCCCUUGAUCGGAUGAUUUGUCUUUU
rnacentral:rRNA from 1 species